rnacentral:tRNA from 1 species
UCCCUGGCAGUCUACUGGUUAAGAUUCUGCUCUUCCAAUGCAGAGGCACAGGUUCAAUCCCUAAUCAGGGAA